rnacentral:rRNA from 1 species
GCGUNGUCUGUGAAAUUCCGGGGCUUAACUUCGGGGUGNCAGGCGAUACGGGCAUAACUAGAGUGCUGUAGGGGAGACUGGAAUUCCUGGUGUAGCGGUGGAAUGCGCAGAUAUCAGGAGGAACACCGAUGGCGAAGGCAGGUCUCUGGGCAGUAACUGACGCUGAGGAGCGAAAGCAUGGGGAGCGAACAGGAUUAGAUACCCUGGUAGUCCAUGCUGUAAACGGUGGGCGUUAGGUGUGGGGACCGGUUUGGUUUCUGUGCCGUAGUUAACGCAUUAAGCGCCCCGCCUGGGGAGUACGGCCGCAAGGCUAAAACUCAAAGGAAUUGACGGGGGCCCGCACAAGCGGCGGAGCAUGUGGAUUAAUUCGAUACAACGCGAAGAACCUUACCUGGGUUUGACAUGCACCAGACGGUUGUAGAGAUACGUACCUCCCUUUGUGGUUGGUGUGCAGGUGGUGCAUGGUUGUCGUCAGCUCGUGUCGUGAGAUGUUGGGUUAAGUCCCGCAACGAGCGCAACCCUUGUCUUAUGUUGCCAGCACUUUGGGUGGGGACUCAUGAGAGACUGCCGGGGUUAACUCGGAGGAAGGUGGGGAUGACGUCAAAUCAUCAUGCCCUUUAUGCCCAGGGCUUCACACAUGCUACAAUGGUUAGUACAACGCGCUGCGAACCUGUGAGGGUGAGUGAAUCGCUGAAAGCUAAUCUCAGUUCGGAUUGGGGUCUGCAACUCGACCCCAUGAAGUCGGAGUCGCUAGUAAUCGCAGAUCAGCAAUGCUGCGGUGAAUACGUUCCCGGGCCUUGUACACACCGCCCGUCACGUCAUGAAAGUUGGUAACAC